rnacentral:rRNA from 1 species
GACGAACGCUGGCGGCGUGCCUAAUACAUGCAAGUAGAACGCUGAAGCUUGGUGCUUGCACCGAGCGGAUGAGUUGCGAACGGGUGAGUAACGCGUAGGUAACCUGCCUGGUAGCGGGGGAUAACUAUUGGAAACGAUAGCUAAUACCGCAUAAGAGUAGAUGUUGCAUGACAUUUGCUUAAAAGGUGCAAUUGCAUCACUACCAGAUGGACCUGCGUUGUAUUAGCUAGUUGGUGAGGUAACGGCUCACCAAGGCAACGAUACAUAGCCGGCCUGAGAGGGUGGUCGGCCACACUGGGACUGAGACACGGCCCAGACUCCUACGGGAGGCAGCAGUAGGGAAUCUUCGGCAAUGGACGGAAGUCUGACCGAGCAACGCCGCGUGAGUGAAGAAGGUUUUCGGAUCGUAAAGGUCUGUUGUAAGAGAAGAACGAGUGUGAGAGUGGAAAGUUCACACUGUGACGGUAUCUUACCAGAAAGGGACGGCUAACUACGUG